UACAGAGAGGGCAAGCGUUGUCCGGAAUGACUGGGCGUAAAGAGCGCGUAGGCGGUUUUUUAAGUUGGAUGUGAAAUCCCUGGGCUUAACCUAGGAACUGCAUUCAAUACUGGGGAACUAGAGGAUGAGAGAGGAAAGUGGAAUGACGAGUGUAGAGGUGAAAUUCGUAGAUAUUCGUCGGAACACCAGAGGCGAAGGCGGCUUUCUGGCUCAUACCUGACGCUGAGGCGCGAAAGCGUGGGGAGCAAACAGG
rnacentral:rRNA from 1 species